rnacentral:rRNA from 1 species
AACAAACGCUGGCGGCGUGCCUAAUACAUGCAAGUCGAACGGGUAGCAAUACCAGUGGCGCACGGGUGAGGAAUACAUAGAUAAUCUGCCUUCGAGUCGGGGAUAACCAGUCGAAAGAUUGGCUAAUACCGGAUAAGACCACAGGAUCUGCGGAUCUAGGGGUUAAAGGUUUUUCGCUUGAAGAUGAGUCUAUGCGAGAUUAGCUAGUUGGUGAGGUAACGGCUCACCAAGGCGACGAUCUCUAACUGGUCUUAGAGGAUGAUCAGUCACACUGGAACUGAGGCACGGUCCAGACUCCUACGGGAGGCAGCAGUAGGGAAUAUUGCGCAAUGGGGGAAACCCUGACGCAGCGACGCCGCGUGAGUGAUGAAGGCCUUCGGGUCGUAAAGCUCUGUCGUAUGGGAAUAACACAAUGAAUGUACCAUGCAAGAAAGGAUCGGCUAACUUCGUGCCAGCAGCCGCAGUAA